CAUUUGUGUGCGCUUGCUGAUGUGCUCUCUUAACCUGCCACAGGCUUCCCCAAAGCUACUGCCUGUGAAUGCAGCUCAGAUAAUAAUUAGGAAUAUUCACCCUCUCUACAUCCUUUUUCCAACAAAGACUUGAAAAACACAACAUGAUUUUUAUAUAAUUUUUUUUUUUUUCGGUUUUCUCUCUCUUUGUCCUUGUUCAGGUAGUGGCUGCAUGGAGGGCAGGUGCCUUUUAUCAAAAGACAAGGAGUCAUCUUCUCCUUAGGAAAUGUUUAUGUGCCUUCCACAGCACCAAAUUGAGAAAACAGAUUACCUCUCAGAAAGCCAUCUGUUUCAGCACCAUGUGAGCUCUCAGAAUAUAUUACUCUACCACAACAGUCUAUUUGCGACAGUUUGCUCUCAUCUUCCUGCAACCCAUCUUACAAAUGAGACAUAAAAUUGAGGCUGUGGAUGCUUAUGGACCCAAUCCUGCAACAUUUAUGCACCUGUUUAAGCUGAAUAAUGUAAAGAUUCAUGGUGAAUUGAAUGUGCAGAAUGACUAACACUUGAGGAACUAUGGCAAUUGCUCCAAAGCAGUCUGCAGUUCAGGAUAAUGAGCAAUGCAUGAAACUGGUGCAUUAUCAGGGUGGAUUAUCUGCUCCUCCCCCAAAUCUGGCCAGGAUGCUGUAAAGGAUGGACUUGGAGUGAAUGCAGAGUAAACUGUCCUCUCUGUAGUCAGUAUUAUUAUAUUAAUUUCCUUUUAUCACUGCAGUAAGACUCCUGAUUGUGCAGAAUUUAGCCCUCAGCAGUGCAACAAGAUCUCGAGGUUUUCGUCGCAGAGUCACACUUGGUGGUGUUAUACAGCCUUGUUAAUUGAUUACAAAAUAAUUCAGCAAGCUGCACUGUUCCUGCAUCUUCCAUCCAGCUUGCUGCCUCCUCACCUCAAACCAGAUACACUUCAAGGUCCUGGUCCCCGUGUCUGAAGCCAAAUCAGCCAAAGAAUGACCUUUUUCGUUCACCUACAUCUUUCAGAGAAAUAAAGCAACAGAUGACACCAAGUAGAGGAUUCACAGAGCUCUUUGUGUGAGCCUCUAGCAAUGGAGCUCUCCAGUGAAGGGCAUCAAGCUUAACUCUCAGCUCACCCUGCAAGGAGGAUUUUUUUUUUCAAUUUCUGUUAACAGCAGCAUUUCCAUUGACUUACACAGGAGCAGAGCCAAAUCCCAGAGUGUCUUUUAAGAAAAGCUACUCCUCAGCAGAAGAUGCAUCUCAGCAGAUAGGAUGCCCUUGCCCCUGAGAGUCCUUGUCCAGGCAAACCAACUCCCACUGUGCACUGAACAAUCCCCCCACUUAUUGCUCAGCCUCCAUCGAGAUUUCUGUUCUUGCACAUCGCCACUGUGAUUGGCAACUGAAACACAAAGAUCAGACAAAAG
rnacentral:lncRNA from 1 species